rnacentral:hammerhead_ribozyme from 1 species
AUCCGGCUGACGAAUCCCACUCAGGAUGAAAUGCGCGUCCUGGAU